GAGCGAAUGGAUUAAGAGCUUGCUCUUAUGAAGUUAGCGGCGGACGGGUGAGUAACACGUGGGUAACCUGCCCAUAAGACUGGGAUAACUCCGGGAAACCGGGGCUAAUACCGGAUAACAUUUUGAACUGCAUGGUUCGAAAUUGAAAGGCGGCUUCGGCUGUCACUUAUGGAUGGACCCGCGUCGCAUUAGCUAGUUGGUGAGGUAACGGCUCACCAAGGCAACGAUGCGUAGCCGACCUGAGAGGGUGAUCGGCCACACUGGGACUGAGACACGGCCCAGACUCCUACGGGAGGCAGCAGUAGGGAAUCUUCCGCAAUGGACGAAAGUCUGACGGAGCAACGCCGCGUGAGUGAUGAAGGCUUUCGGGUCGUAAAACUCUGUUGUUAGGGAAGAACAAGUGCUAGUUGAAUAAGCUGGCACCUUGACGGUACCUAACCAGAAAGCCACGGCUAACUACGUGCCAGCAGCCGCGGUAAUACGUAGGUGGCAAGCGUUAUCCGGAAUUAUUGGGCGUAAAGCGCGCGCAGGUGGUUUCUUAAGUCUGAUGUGAAAGCCCACGGCUCAACCGUGGAGGGUCAUUGGAAACUGGGAGACUUGAGUGCAGAAGAGGAAAGUGGAAUUCCAUGUGUAGCGGUGAAAUGCGUAGAGAUAUGGAGGAACACCAGUGGCGAAGGCGACUUUCUGGUCUGUAACUGACACUGAGGCGCG
rnacentral:rRNA from 1 species